AACGAACGCUGGCGGCAGGCCUAACACAUGCAAGUCGAACGCCGUAGCAAUACGGAGUGGCAGACGGGUGAGUAACACGUGGGAACGUACCCUUCGGUUCGGGAUAACUCAGGGAAACUUGAGCUAAUACCGGAUACGUCCGAGAGGAGAAAGAUUUAUCGCCGAGGGAUCGGCCCGCGUCUGAUUAGCUUGUUGGUGAGGUAACGGCUCACCAAGGCGACGAUCAGUAGCUGGCUGAGAGGAUGAUCAGCCACAUUGGGACUGAGACACGGCCCAAACUCCUACGGGAGGCAGCAGUGGGGAAUAUUGGACAAUGGGCGCAAGCCUGAUCCAGCCAUGCCGCGUGAGUGAUGAAGGCCCUAGGGUUGUAAAGCUCUUUUACCCGGGAAGAUAAUGACUGUACCGGGAGAAUAAGCCCCGCUAACUUCGUGCCAGCCGCCGCAGUAAU
rnacentral:rRNA from 1 species